UACGUAGGUGGCAAGCGUUGUCCGGAUUUACUGGGCGUAAAGGGCGCGUAGGCGGUCCGAUAAGUCCUGUGUGAAAUCCCUCGGCUCAACUGAGGAACUGCACGGGAGACUGUCGGGCUUGAGUUCGGGAGAGGGAAGCGGAAUUCCGGGUGGUGAGCGGUGAAAUGCGCAGAUAUCAGGGAGGAAACACCCGGGUGGCGAAGGCGGAUCUCUGGGCCGAUACUGA
rnacentral:rRNA from 1 species